GGUGACCUCGUGGCCACGGCGCUGGACAAAAUUAGGCAGGUGGAACCUGAGAAAGUGGCUGAGCUACCAGCCAAACAGGAUGGUGAAGUUAAGGAGCAUAUCAGUCACAUCGGCUGCUUUGUGCUCCUCGCCAUGCACAGGCCUUGCUCCAGGCCACUGAACUAAAGCUGUUCCCAAAGGGAAGGCUGGGCCCUAGGUGAGCUUGCCAGACCAGCAGAAAUGAAGCUGGGGAUAUUCCAGCCAAGCAAGACCCAGAGAUGCUCAGAGACAUUAAUGGCCACCAUCAAAGCAUCUUUAAACCUUCAGGCCAGCACCAAAGCAGCCGGCUGUCUGUGAUAAAUAUGCAAGCCACGCUUCAGUCGGGGAGAAAUAAAUAAGCUGUUGUACAGGGAGCAAGGGAGGUGGGGAGCUCCUGCCCAAAUCACUGCUCAGCAGAGGAGUUUCCCUGGAGACUGCUUCCUCAGAGCCUGCGCAGGGCCAGCACAGGGCCGGGAGGCAGCACCCAGAGCUGCUUGAUGUGGUCUGGGCAGGCACAGGGACACUUCUGGGCGAAGGAUGAGGCGGAGAAGCAGGAUUGGGGAUGCCAGUCAGGUGCUGUUGUUGAAUUUGGGGAAAGCAGAGAUGGAUUACUUGCCAGUGAAUUGUGCUGCAGAAAUGUGGAGACUCCUUGGCUGCCUCUCAGCAAGCCCCUGGAGGGAGGAGCAGAAUAUCCAAGUGUACGCUGGGCAGAGCAGGGGAAGGUGGGUCCAGCAGAGUGAAAUCAGCUUUUCAUCCUUCUCCACGCAUCAGCAGCUGGCAGCUACAUCUUCAGUGCCUUGUCAUGCUGACGGGUCUCCUGCAGGGAUUGCAUAGAUGUGUCCCUGGGGCUGCAGGACAUGCUGGGACUUCCAGAUGAACCUUUCCAGGCAGAAGCAGAGUGGUGUGCUCGCUGUGAUGAGGGAAGAGGCUGGGAGAAGCUCGCAUUUAAUAAAAAAGGCAUCAAGUAAGGGCUGCUGUGAAUUAGGCAGGUUGUGCUAAAUGGUAUUGGCAGUGCAAGUUGCCUUUUAAAUGUGUAUAAUUCAUGUGCACAUACACACACGGUCUGCAGUCGCUGUCUUGCUGCCUGCAAGAAUUGAGGACAAAUACCAGGAAUAUUAAAUGAUGGUGAUGAGCAAGUGACAUUCUAUCAGCUAGAGAGCAAUUAAAUAUUUUAGCCUACUCAAACAAAGGUUUUGCUGGGCAGAGGAGAUGAGAGGUGGUUUCUCCCUCAUCAAUGUGCAUAAAUAUCUAAAGGGAGGAGCCAAGCACAUGGAGCAGGGCUCUUCUCGGUGGUGCUGAGCAAUAGGACACAUGCAAUAGGCAAAAAUUGAUGCACAGGAAAUUCCACCUGGAUAUAAGGAAGAACUUCUUUACUGUGCAGUGACCCACACUGGAACAGAGAGUAGAGAGGCUGCGGGGUCUCCCUCACUGGAGAUACUCAAGAACCGUCUGGGUGCAAUCAAUCCUGUGCCAUGUGCUCUGGGACAGCCCUGUUUUUACAGAGAGGUGGGACCAGCUGGCCCAACCCGGCCGUUUCUGUGGUUCCGUGAUUCCCCAGGACACGCACCGCGUCCCUUUCUGCACUUUCCAACCACGUUAUCCGGUUAUCCCCAGGCGUGGGUGACCGAGAGCAUCCCUACCCCUCGGCUCCUGGCUGAUGCCGCCGGGGGCUCGGGGGCUCCACCGGUGCGUUCGCUCCCGUACUCCCCGAGCCGGCAGCGGUCCCAUGGCCCCAACCCGGCCUCUCCGAGCAGGGCAGCGAGGCCGGGCUGUCGGGAAGGGGCCGGAGCCCUUUAAACCCCCCGGUUCCCUCCCCGCCAGCCCAGCCCAGCCCAGCCCGGCCCAGCCCAGCCGGGCGUUGCAUCAGGCCCGUGCGCGCCGCCGGCCGCCCCGCGG
rnacentral:lncRNA from 1 species